CGCCCUGUAGUCCAAUGGUAUGACGCCAGCAUACUCUGACACUCUGAGAUCAGCUGGAGAUUUGCGAGUUCAAUUCUCGCCACGGCUA